AUGCCCUCGACUGGCUAUCAUAACCACAGCCGGAGCCACCGCAGUUUCUACCGCAUAACGCAUGCACCGAGCACGCCAACACCCACACUAGCUGACAGAGAAGCCCCACUAGAGUACUCCACGAGCCAGCGAGACAACAUAGCGGGCCGAAGUGCCCUCUAUCUUCUAGUUUUACAAUCUCAACACAAAGCCAAGGGUGACCACCUAUGUUGGAUGACCAUGGAAAAGUAUGCACAUAUGUCUUUCAUCCUUAUGGUUCUUGUUCUACACGCCAACUUCCAAGCCCAAGGACAACUAGGACCGACGGAGACACACAACAUCACCGAGUACAUCCCAUUGGAGUUCACAAAGACUUUUUUCCAAGCCCACGGAAUACAUCCCUCUAAUACAUCGAUUGCGUUUAAAAGGUGUAGGCCGUGCCCCUGCUGCCCAGAGUAUCCCAAGAAACCAUGUAUUGAAGCACCAAGCUGUUGCUAUCAGAUAAACUGCAAUGAUCCUGGGAAACCACUUGGUACUUGUACUGCACGUGCGAUCUCCUGUAAUUGUGAAAAUAGUUGCAAGUGA
rnacentral:rRNA from 1 species